CUGGCGGCCAUGAUGGGCAAGGUCCACCAUGGCCCAAAGGAGAGUUUCAUGGAGAAGGACAGCCUUCCCAUCUCACUCCCUUCAGUUCUCUGCGGCUGUCCAGUCAUUUGUUCACAGUAAGUGAUUAUCAUCUGUGUCCUCCCAGGAUGGACCCCGUGAAGACCCAUCAUGCUUUACUGUCUCUCACAAGGUUAAUGUGCUGAUUUGCUUUAUUUCAACGAGUGGAAUCAAAUCUAAGCAAACUUUUGAUAAUGUGCAAAACUUCAUUUGUAUUAAGAAUGUCACUCAGUGGCUUUGAAUAGGAACCCCGGGCUGCUGCAUAGGACCCAGCCAGAAGUUGAAGUGAAGGCCUGAUUUCUGUGUUAAAAUGAUGACAAAUGGAAACCAAUCCGUGAUGUUUGCAGUAUCCCUUUCAGUACUGGGUCACUCGUAUUCAGAAGGACCAGUGAUGUCUGACAAAUCAAAAAUACAGACACAGCUGCCGAGUACCUCAGUAAGCCAUUUAUGAAACUCAUUGAUAAAGAAAAUACCAAAACAGAAGACACGUUUCUCUCUCCUCUGGUCUGAACCCCUUUUUACAUACCAUGACGUACCCCCACCAGGCUCUGGCUGCCUGGCCAAGCUUCUCGAAGCAGCAGGCUGCUGAGGACGUCUGCUGGCAUCUGUGUCAGGGUGGAGGACCUGGCACUGGGAGAUGUAGAGACAGCUCCUUCAGUAAUUCUGACAUGCACUGUCAUUCGAUGGCGCGAUUGGCGGAGGGCCCACAUUGCCAUCCAUCUCCAAGUUUGUGCUGGGGUCAGACUGCGGUGGGCGUCUCAUAGCCGUUAACCAAGUUCCGCACCGACAGCAAGUACCAAGACAGGCCCAGUCCCAGAGACACAGGCCGCUGGCUCAUGCUUUAGCUGGAGGAGCCCUGACAGCCGUGGCUUGUGCCCCACCUCCCUUCGCCACCUUCCACAUGGCGAAUUAGGCUGGGGUGGCCGCGUGACAGCUCUGCCAGCCCGUCUGCCUGCCUUCCGGAUUUCUCUCCUGCAGGUGUUUCCCCUAAUAAAAUCCUUCCACGUUGAGCCGCUGACAUUCUGAGACCCAGGAUAAGACACUUAAGUUAGGAACCACGGAUUCUCGGGUUGCUUGGCACGGCCUCAGAAAUAGAAAGCUUGUAAGAGUUGUGUGUGAUCUUCAGAAGAGUCCCCCCGCCAGGCGGCUGCUUUUGGAUGACGUGCCAGCUACUCUUGAUAGCCGGCCUCCGGUUGGCUCUGCCUCCUUAGCUUCUCAGCCCUGAUCCAGCUACUAGUAUCCUGAUCUAGCUACUGCCCUCUACAGCACUCAGAGAUCUUUAAAUAAAGCAACUGGAUUCUUCUAUACAUCCCCCUUCCCCUGAAAAA